AUGAGAACACCGAGAGUGGAAUGGCCCAACUACACAGCAUCACUUCAUGACUGUGAUUGGUUUAGGAAUGCUGAUGUAGCAAUCCAGUCACACUUCUGGUGCUUCAACUACCUCAUGAACACUAUACUUUUGCCUCUUAUAAUCCUGCCUAAAGGGUCACCGGCCACAGGCCUCUAUCCCCCAGAAGCGGGGACGGCGCGGAGCUGAUUCCAGUCCCUGACUCGCCUGCUGCCCAUCCACAAGAGCAAAUCUCAGGAGAAAUAAAUACAAGGGAAGCAGCUGAUCCUUUUAAUAAUAAUUCUUAGCUUGGAAGAAAUUGAUACAAUAAAUAUCAGAAGUUUGACUAA